GCUGGGUGGAGUAGCACCACCUCCCAGCAAUUGGGAGGCUGAGGCAGGAGGAUGGCUUGAGUCUAGGAGUUCUGGGCUAUGGUGUGCUAUGCCCAUCAGGUGUCUGUACUAAGUUCAGCAUCUAUAUGGUGACCUGGGAGUGGGGGCAGGGACCACCAGGUUGCCUAAGGAGGGAUGAACCAGCCCAGGUCAGAAAAGGAGCAGGUCAAAUGUCCCAUGCUGAUCAGUAAUGGGAUGGGCCUGUGAAUAACCACUGUAUUCCAGCCUGGGAAACAUGACAAGACCUUGUGUCUU
rnacentral:SRP_RNA from 1 species